CUGACAAAUACAAGCACCAAUGGAAGCUGCUGAGAAAUAACAUUUUAAACAUUUUCAUGAAUCAAAACAAGCCACAACUAAUUACCAAUGAAGGCAUAAAAACACAAGUUUCCAAAAAGUGGACAGGAAGUGGAAAAAUAACUUCAACUGAAACAAAUGCAGAGCUAACAGAAAAAGCAAGAAAGAUCCUAAAGCUUGGGAAAACUGAAAAUACUAAGAUAAUAAGUCAACAUAAAAUUAAUUCACAUCUACAGAAUGAAUUUAAAAUUGUUGAAAAGAAAACGGCAAAUAAUAAAAGAAAGUUGUAUUGCAAUUCUGGUAUAUUUAACAAAUGCUUUGGAACUAAGCCAUCACUGAUUAAUACAUUUUUGACAGCAAAUUGUCUAUCAACUGUUAAAGGAAAAUGUUGCAGAAAAAAUCUGAAAGACUUACAAAGCAUUUUGGUAUUAAAUUUAGUAAAAAAUCAGAUGGUCAAUGAAAGUAGUCAAAAUCAAACUAAAACAAUGACAAAGGAAAAAAAUAAGUGUACCAAUAAAAGAAUUUUAGCAUUUGUCAAACAAAAGGAAUUAGCUGAAAAGAGUUCUAAAACAUGGGACUGGGAAAGAAUAGGUGCAAUCAGCAGAGAUCAGCAUAAAAUAUUAACUGAUGCAAGAAAAGUGUUAAUAAGUGCAGAAAAGAAAAGUCAACAUACUGAACUUCAGAAAUAUGGACAUAUACCUAAAGAGUUUCAGGAAAUAACUGGAUCUGUAAACAAUAUACCAAGUGGGAUAAGCAGUUGGAAAAAAAAAUCAGAAGGAAUGUCUACUAGGCCUUACAGUAAAAACCAAAACAUUUUAAACUCAGUGAAACAAAGAUCAGCAGGAUUACAAAAAGGUCAACCAAAUAUGAAAGACAUAGAUGGAAUGAACACAACAGGAAAAUCAGACAAAAAUAACGGGAGCAUAGAUGUAUUGUUUAAUAGCUUGCCUGAAGUAGGAAUCAAAGUAAUACUUCAAGGUAAAGAGCAAAGAACUAAAACAACUCCAAAAUCUGUUGAUGAAAAUCAGAGAUCUUCUACACAAGCAAUGAUCCUGCAAAGAAGCAAAGAAAAUGUGCAGGAAAAGUGGUCAAUAUAUAAAACUGGUUCUUCUAGAACUCAUAAAAGAAAACAAGAUACUUUUAAAACUAAAGGUUCUAGAAAACAGAAAUGGAGAGGGAAUCCGGUUGAAGUACAUAUACCUAAAAAAGAAAGUACUGUGUUUAGAGUGGAAAGGUUGGAAUAUUCAUCCAGAAAUGACCACGUAGAACCUGUAAAGUUAAAUUCUGUCUUUCCAACCACAAAAUAUGCUGUAAGUGUUAAACAGGCAUUAUUUCCACCAGAAAUAGGACAAGCAAAGUCUUCAAGACAUGUGGGAAAAAUGGUGACACAUAGCAUGUCAACUUCAUGGAAGGUAGAACAGAAAUAUUUAAGCUUUGCUCGAAAGGAUUUAAAUGUUAAAGCUAGAAGAGCUGCUGUAUCAAACAAACGAACUGUGAAUAGUAAAUAUAAAAAAAUUAAUACAAGAGAUUAUUUACCAGUAUCUUCAAUAUAUCCUUAUAAACACACUUCUCAAAGUGUAUCUGAUGGUGUAAGAAGAAAACAAUCAACACAGAGUGAAAGUGUAAAGGUAUCUGUGGGCAGCUUUUUCAGUUUCUCAGAACCAUUAUGAAAGAUGAAGAACUUCCAAACAAAUUUGUACCAAUUGAUGCUCAACAUUAUAAGCAUAUGUCUCUCUCUCAGAGUUUUCAUGUUGGAAAAUCACAGCUGCUGAAAGUUAUAUUACAGAUGACUUUUGUUCUGGUACAAAAACAGUCGUGUGUAACAGCUCAGCUUCAGAGGUCAACUUGAAUACGCCAAGCAGGAGUUUGACUGUAAAUUCCAGGACUUCCUCAUUUACAUCUUCAUCCAGCAGGAGUAUAGGAACGUCCUGUGACUGUUUAUCAGAUGAUUCCACUUCUCAUGUUUCACUCUCAAAUGAAAUUUUUACAGGAAACCUGAACUCAUACUUGUCAAGUAUUAACACAAAGAAAAGAGUUAUAAUUCCUGUUGUAUUUCAGUUAAACUACUCAUCCUGUGAUGAUCAAGAAAAUGAAAAUUCUACUAAAACAUUCCCACAGCUUGGAAAAGCAAGGAUUCCAAAGUCAAGACUUGAAGACAAUGCUGUCAUAUCUUCCCCCUUUAAUGAAACACUGACUGUAGUGAAAUCAAGUGAAGACAUAACCCAUCUACCCAUUUCUGAGUCAGCACGAAAAUCCAUGGGGAAUAUUUGCAAAUACCAUUCAUUAGAUUCCAGUUGUCUCACUGGUGGUGAUUGCUCUCAUUUCCCAGAACCAGACAAUGACUUGAA